GAACUAUCGAUGGCACUAUCGACACUAUCGAUGGUUGGGCGCUAUCGAGCCACUAUCGAUAGCAGCAGACACCUUCGAUAGCGGCCCGUCCACUAUCGAUAGUGCCAUCGAUAGCGGGCGUCUCACAUCGCUAAAAUACUUUAACGCGCAUUUCACACACAACUUCACACAAACAACUGAAAAAUUGUUAAAAUUGACGGGAAUUAUAAAAAAAACUAUUAAAAAUGGAACGCUUUUUAAAAAAAGGUACACGUCGGAGGUCCGCAACACCUACUGCGCCAAGUCCAAACAAACAGGACUGUGAAAGAGCUUUUAGCAAGGCAGGGCAAAUUGUUUCCGAGAGACGCACCCGGCUCAAAGAGAAAAACAUUAACAUCCUGUUAUUUUUGAAUCAAAACUUUUGGUUAAAAUAAACCAUUUUUCUUAAAAACUUAAAAAAAAAA